AGAGUUUGAUCAUGGCUCAGGACGAACGCUGGCGGCGUGCUUAACACAUGCAAGUCGAACGGAAAGCGCUCUUCGGAGUGACUCGAGUGGCGAACGGGUGAGUAACACGUGGGUGAUCUGCCCUGCACUUUGGGAUAAGCCUGGGAAACUGGGUCUAAUACCGGAUAGGACCAUGGCCUGCAUGGGUUGUGGUGGAAAGCUUUUGCGGUGUGGGAUGGGCCUGCGGCCUAUCAGCUUGUUGGUGGGGUGAUGGCCUACCAAGGCGACGACGGGUAGCCGGCCUGAGAGGGUGUCCGGCCACACUGGGACUGAGAUACGGCCCAGACUCCUACGGGAGGCAGCAGUGGGGAAUAUUGCACAAUGGGCGCAAGCCUGAUGCAGCGACGCCGCGUGGGGGAUGACGGCCUUCGGGUUGUAAACCUCUUUCAGUACCGACGAAGCGAAAGUGACGGUAGGUACAGAAGAAGCACCGGCCAACUACGUGCCAGCAGCGGCGGUAAUAC
rnacentral:rRNA from 1 species